rnacentral:rRNA from 1 species
AACGAACGCUGGCGGCAGGCCUAACACAUGCAAGUCGAACGCUGUAGCAAUACAGAGUGGCAGACGGGUGAGUAACACGUGGGAAUCUUCCUAUCGGUACGGAAUAGCUCAGGGAAACUUGGGGUAAUACCGCAUACGCCCUUCGGGGGAAAGAUUUAUCGCCGAUAGAUGAGCCCGCGUCUGAUUAGCUAGUUGGUGAGGUAAUGGCUCACCAAGGCGACGAUCAGUAGCGGGUCUGAGAGGAUGGCCAGCCACACUGGGACUGAGACACGGCCCAGACUCCUACGGGAGGCAGGAGUGGGGAAUAUUGGACAAUGGGCGCAAGCCUGAUCCAGCCAUGCCGCGUGAGUGACGAAGGUCUUCGGAUUGUAAAGCUCUUUUGCCAGGGACGAUAAUGACGGUACCUGGAGAAUAAGCCCCGGCUAACUUCGUGCCAGCCGCCGCCGUAAAAC